rnacentral:rRNA from 1 species
UACACGCUGUGACUAGCAUAUCAAUAAGCGGAGGAAAAGAAACUAACAAGGAUUCCCCUAGUAACGGCGAGUGAAGCGGGAAGAGCUCAAAUUUGAAAUCUUAAAGGGUUUCCCUUUACGAAUUGUAGUUUAAAGAAGUGUUUUCUGUUGAGGUUUUGGUAAAAGUUCUUUGGAAUAGGACAUCAUAGAGGGUGAGAAUCCCGUAUUUGACCUUUACUUUCAACUUUGUGAUACACUUUCAAAGAGUCGGAUUGUUUGGGAAUGCAGUCCAAAAUGGGUGGUAAAUUUCAUCUAAAGCUAAAUAUUGGCGAGAGACCGAUAGCGAACAAGUACCGUGAGGGAAAGAUGAAAAGAACUUUGAAAAGAGAGUUAAACAGUACGUGAAAUUGUCAAAAGGGAAGCGUUUGGACACCAGUGUUGUUUUUCUGAAAAUCAAUUAAAGAACUGUUUAUGCUAAGUUGUUUAGACUUUAUCAGCUAACUGUUUAGUUUUGAGCUUUUCUUUAAUGCACUUUUCAGUUAACAAGUCAACAUCAAUUUCUUUUGCUGUAAAAAAGCUUGAGGAAGGUGGCUUGAGAUUCGUCUUAAGUGUUUAUAGCCUCUUGCCUAUGCAGUCGGAGAGAUUGAGGUCUGCAGCGCAGAUCCUUCGGGGCUAAAUGCAUUUGUGCUAAGUUAUAACAUUUUAUAGACAAUUUGUUGACUAUGAUUUGUCUUGUAGCUUACUCGCUUAUGUUAUUUUACCUACGCUUAGGAUGUUGAAGUCAUCGUAUCGCGC